CCUACGGGAGGCAGCAGUGAGGAAUAUUGGUCAAUGGACGAGAGUCUGAACCAGCCAAGUAGCGUGAAGGAUGACUGCCCUAUGGGUUGUAAACUUCUUUUAUAUGGGAAUAAAAUGUUCCACGUGUGGGAUUUUGUAUGUACCAUAUGAAUAAGGAUCGGCUAACUCCGUGCCAGCAGCCGCGGUAAUACGGAGGAUCCGAGCGUUAUCCGGAUUUAUUGGGUUUAAAGGGAGCGUAGGUGGAUUGUUAAGUCAGUUGUGAAAGUUUGCGGCUCAACCGUAAAAGUGCAGUUGAAACUGGCAGUCUUGAGUACAGUAGAGGUGGGCGGAAUUCGUGGUGUAGCGGUGAAAUGCUUAGAUAUCACGAAGAACUCCGAUUGCGAAGGCAGUUCACUGGACUGCAACUGACACUGAGGCUCGAAAGUGUGGGUAUCAAACAGGAUUAGAUACCCGUGUAGUC
rnacentral:rRNA from 1 species